rnacentral:rRNA from 2 species
CCGAAAAUGUACCGGGGCUAAACAUAUUACCGAAGCUGUGGAUUGUCCUUUGGACAAUGGUAGGAGAGCGUUCUAAGGGCGUUGAAGCAUGAUCGCAAGGACAUGUGGAGCGCUUAGAAGUGAGAAUGCCGGUGUGAGUAGCGAAAGAUGGGUGAGAAUCCCGUCCACCGAUUGACUAAGGUUUCCAGAGGAAGGCUCGUCCGCUCUGGGUUAGUCGGGUCCUAAGCUGAGGCCGACAGGCGUAGGCGAUGGAUAACAGGUUGAUAUUCCUGUACCACCUAUAAUCGUUUUAAUCGAUGGGGGGGACGCAGUAGGAUAGGCGAAGCGUGCGAUUGGAUUGCACGUCUAAGCAGUAAGGCUGAGUAUUAGGCAAAUCCGGUACUCGUUAAGGCUGAGCUGUGAUGGGGAGAAGACAUUGUGUCUUCGAGUCGUUGAUUUCACACUGCCGAGAAAAGCCUCUAGAUAGAAAAUAGGUGCCCGUACCGCAAACCGACACAGGUAGUCAAGAUGAGAAUUCUAAGGUGAGCGAGCGAACUCUCGUUAAGGAACUCGGCAAAAUGACCCCGUAACUUCGGGAGAAGGGGUGCUCUUUAGGGUUAACGCCCAGAAGAGCCGCAGUGAAUAGGCCCAAGCGACUGUUUAUCAAAAACACAGGUCUCUGCUAAACCGUAAGGUGAUGUAUAGGGGCUGACGCCUGCCCGGUGCUGGAAGGUUAAGAGGAGUGGUUAGCUUCUGCGAAGCUACGAAUCGAAGCCCCAGUAAACGGCGGCCGUAACUAUAACGGUCCUAAGGUAGCGAAAUUCCUUGUCGGGUAAGUUCCGACCCGCACGAAAGGCGUAACGAUUUGGGCACUGUCUCAACGAGAGACUCGGUGAAAUCAUAGUACCUGUGAAGAUGCAGGUUACCCGCGACAGGACGGAAAGACCCCGUGGAGCUUUACUGUAGCCUGAUAUUGAAAUUCGGCACAGCUUGUACAGGAUAGGUAGGAGCCUUUGAAACGUGAGCGCUAGCUUACGUGGAGGCGCUGGUGGGAUACUACCCUAGCUGUGUUGGCUUUCUAACCCGCACCACUUAUCGUGGUGGGAGACAGUGUCAGGCGGGCAGUUUGACUGGGGCGGUCGCCUCCUAAAAGGUAACGGAGGCGCUCAAAGGUUCCCUCAGAAUGGUUGGAAAUCAUUCAUAGAGUGUAAAGGCAUAAGGGAGCUUGACUGCGAGACCUACAAGUCGAGCAGGGUCGAAAGACGGACUUAGUGAUCCGGUGGUUCCGCAUGGAAGGGCCAUCGCUCAACGGAUAAAAGCUACCCCGGGGAUAACAGGCUUAUCUCCCCCAAGAGUUCACAUCGACGGGGAGGUUUGGCACCUCGAUGUCGGCUCAUCGCAUCCUGGGGCUGUAGUCGGUCCCAAGGGUUGGGCUGUUCGCCCAUUAAAGCGGUACGCGAGCUGGGUUCAGAACGUCGUGAGACAGUUCGGUCCCUAUCCGUCGUGGGCGUAGGAAAUUUGAGAGGAGCUGUCCUUAGUACGAGAGGACCGGGAUGGACAUACCUCUGGUGUACCAGUUGUCGUGCCAACGGCAUAGCUGGGUAGCUAUGUGUGGACGGGAUAAGUGCUGAAAGCAUCUAAGCAUGAAGCCCCCCUCAAGAUGAGAUUUCCCAACUUCGGUUAUAAGAUCCCUCAAAGAUGAUGAGGUUAAUAGGUUCGAGGUGGAAGCAUGGUGACAUGUGGAGCUGACGAAUACUAAUCGAUCGAAGACUUAAUCAA